GGCAGAACUGAAAGGAAAGGAGGUUGUGCUACAUGUUGAAGGGAUUGUGGGCAACAGAAAGGAGACACCAGAAGAUAAAAUGUCACAUGAAGUCUUCAUAGUCUUGUACAUAUCCUCCAUCAUAUCCACCAUAGUCUGCCAGAUCGUCUUUCAUGGUGGCCUUUAAUCCCCCUCCAGGUACCACACCUUUCUUCUUCUUUUUGGCUUUGCUUUGCUAAAAAUGAAGAGUUAAAGUCAUGAAUCUUUACUUAUUGUGGGUGUUUCAUCUGUCAUAGCAAACAUUUAAAGAGGUCAAAGCCUCUCUAAAAGGUAUAACCUACAGCAAUCUUGAUUUUCUCAGAAAAGAACACACAUAUGUCUGAAUGGAAGCAUCAGGCGGCCAUGGGGCUGCUCUCUUCUAACCCAGCUUCAACAGGCUCUCUAAUACAAAUACUUACCUUUUCCUGCUUCUGUUUUUCACUGCAGAGCACAGUCAAUGAGUUGGUAAUCUUUUUCAAGUCAUCAAUUUCCACUUUAAAAGAGGGAAAGAGACAUACUACUAAACUUCAAUUUUUCAGCAUUUUGAAAAAUAAAAUCAAAAUAGGCAUCCUUUUAAUGUAUAAAAAUUAAUUUGUAUGUCAAUAAAGUCGGGUAACUCUCCUUCAU
rnacentral:lncRNA from 1 species